rnacentral:misc_RNA from 1 species
UCUCCGUUGGUUAACCAGCGGAGGGAUCAUUAAAGAGUUGCAAAACUCCCAAACCCAUGUUAACCUACCUUCAACGUUGCUUCGGCUGGUUGGCCCCUGUGUCCGGGGUCCCCCGCCCGCACGGGCGCCCGCCGGAAGUACCUUACUCGUGAACUUUUAUUGCAUCUCUUAGUCUUUGUACCUAAUAAGUCAAAACUUUCAACAACGGAUCUCUUGGUUCUGGCAUCGAUGAAGAACGCAGC